rnacentral:rRNA from 1 species
GAUCCUGGCUCAGGAUGAACGCUGACAGAAUGCUUAACACAUGCAAGUCGAUGGGGAAGUGGUGCUUGCACCAUGGUAACCAUGGCGGACGGGUGAGUAACGCGUAAGGAACUUGCCUGCGGGACCGGGAUAACAACAGGAAACUGCUGACAAGACCGGAUAAGGUCAUUAAGCUGCAUAGCUUAGUGAUGAAAGGAGACGCCUGCGGAGAGCCUUGCGUCCUAUUAGCUAG